CCGGGGUCAACUCGGAGGAAGGUGGGGAUGACGUCAAAUCAUCAUGCCCCUUAUGUCUUGGGCUUCACGCAUGCUACAAUGGCCGGUACAAAGGGCUGCGAUACCGCGAGGUGGAGCGAAUCCCAAAAAGCCGGUCUCAGUUCGGAUUGGGGUCUGCAACUCGACCCCAUGAAGUCGGAGUCGCUAGUAAUCGCAGAUCAGCAACGCUGCGGUGAAUACGUUCCCGGGCCU
rnacentral:rRNA from 1 species